GAUGAACGCUAGCGGCAGGCCUAACACAUGCAAGUCGAGGGGUAGAGUUCUUCGGGACUUGAGACCGGCGCACGGGUGCGUAACGCGUAUGCAAUCUACCUUAUACAGAGGGAUAGCCCAGAGAAAUUUGGAUUAAUACCUCAUGGUAUAUAUCAUUCGCAUGUUUGAUAUAUUAAAGUUCCAACGGUAAAGAUGGGCAUGCGUCCUAUUAGCUAGAUGGUAAGGUAACGGCUUACCAUGGCAACGAUAGGUAGGGGUCCUGAGAGGGAGAUCCCCCACACUGGUACUGAGACACGGACCAGACUCGUGAUGCU
rnacentral:rRNA from 1 species